rnacentral:rRNA from 1 species
AACACGCAUGACACACUGCAUAUCAAUAAGCGGAGGAAAAGAAACUAACAAGGAUUCCCUUAGUAACGGCGAGUGAAGCGGGAAGAGCUCAAAUUUGAAAUCUUCAAGGUUCUACCUUGACGAAUUGUAGUUUAUAGAAGUGUUUUCUGUUAGUAGAGUGGCAAAAGUUCUUUGGAAUAGGACAUCAUAGAGGGUGAGAAUCCCGUAUUUGGUCAUUCUUUCUAGCUUUGUGAUACACUUUCAACGAGUCGGAUUGUUUGGGAAUGCAGUCCAAAAUGGGUGGUAAAUUUCAUCUAAAGCUAAAUAUUGGCGAGAGACCGAUAGCGAACAAGUACCGUGAGGGAAAGAUGAAAAGAACUUUGAAAAGAGAGUUAAACAGUACGUGAAAUUGUCAAAAGGGAAGCGUUUGACACCAGUGUUGUUUUUCCGAAAAUCAAUUACGAAUGUUUUAUUUUUGAGAAGUUAUGACUUCAUCGGCUUGCUUCUCUCUUUAUGAAACUUUCUUAAUGCACUUUUCGGUUAACAAGUCAACAUCAAUUUCUUUUGUUGUAAAAGGGUAUGAGGAAGGUGGCUUUCUUUUCGGAGAAAGUGUUUAUAGCCUUGUACCUCUGCAAUCGGAGAGAUUGAGGUACUGCAGCGUAGACUCCUUCGGGGUUAGAUACACUUGUGCUAAGCUAUAGCCUUGUAUAGACAACUUGUUGACUAUGCUCAGUCAUGUAGCUUACUCGCUUAUGCUAUUUUACCUACGCUUAGGAUGUUGAGCGCAUGUCUCUCUCU